rnacentral:rRNA from 1 species
GAUGAACGCUGGCGGCGUGCCUAAUACAUGCAAGUCGAGCGAACGGACGAUUAUCUUGCUUUUCUGAUUUUUUCGGCUGACGUGUGUUUAACACGUGUCUAACCUACCUUUUAUACUUGUAUAACUUCUGGAAACCGUAUCUAAUACCGUAUAAUAUUUUGAACCGCAUUGUUCAAAAGUUAUAUACGUUCUUUCUUUCACUUAUAGAUGGAUCCGCGCUGCAUUAGCUAGUUGGUAAGGUAACGGCUUACCAAGGCAACGAUGCAUAGCCGACCUGAGAGGGUGAUCGGCCACACGGGAAGUGAGACACGGUCAAGAGUCCUACGGGAGGAAGCAGUAGGGAAUAUUACGCAAUGGGCGAAAGGAUGACGGAGCAAAGCCGCGUGAGUGAUGAAGGUCUUCGGAUCGUAAAACUAUGUUAUUAGGGAAGAACAAAUGUGUAAGAAAAUGAGCACAUAGUGACGGUAACUAAAAAGAAAGCAACGGCUAACUACGUG